rnacentral:misc_RNA from 1 species
GAUGAAGAACGUAGUGAAAUGCGAUAAGUAAUGUGAAUUGCAGAAUUCAGUGAAUCAUCGAAUCUUUGAACGCACAUUGCGCCCGCCAGUAUUCUGGCGGGCAUGCCUGUUCGAGCGUCAUUUCAACCAUCAAGCCCCCGGCUUGUGUUGGGGACCUGCGGCUGCCGCAGGCCCUGAAAACCAGUGGCGGGCUCGCUAGUCACUCCGAGCGUAGUAAUACAUCUCGCUCAGGGCGUGCUGCGGGUUCCGGCCGUUAAAAAGCCUUAUUUACCCAAGGUUGACCUCGGAUCAGGUAGGAAGACCCGCUGAACUUAAGCAUAUCAAUAAGCGGAGG